AGUGAACGCUGGCGGUAGGCCUAACACAUGCAAGUCGAACGGCAGCACAGUAAGAGCUUGCUCUUACGGGUGGCGAGUGGCGGACGGGUGAGGAAUACAUCGGAAUCUACUUUUUUGUGGGGGAUAACGUAGGGAAACUUACGCUAAUACCGCAUACGACCUACGGGUGAAAGCAGGGGAUCUUCGGACCUUGCGCGAUUGAAUGAGCCGAUGUCGGAUUAGCUAGUUGGCGGGGUAAAGGCCCACCAAGGCGACGAUCCGUAGCUGGUCUGAGAGGAUGAUCAGCCACACUGGAACUGAGACACGGUCCAGACUCCUACGGGAGGCAGCAGUGGGGAAUAUUGGACAAUGGGCGCAAGCCUGAUCCAGCCAUACCGCGUGGGUGAAGAAGGCCUUCGGGUUGUAAAGCCCUUUUGUUGGGAAAGAAAAGCAGCAGGUGAAUACCCCGCUGUUCUGACGGUACCCAAAGAAUAAGCACCGGCUAACUUCGUG
rnacentral:rRNA from 1 species